rnacentral:rRNA from 1 species
CCUACGGGAGGCAGCAGUGAGGAAUAUUGGUCAAUGGACGCAAGUCUGAACCAGCCAUGCCGCGUGAAGGAUGAAGGCGUUUGCGUUGUAAACUUCUUUUAUCUGGGAAGCGGUACCAGAGGAAUAAGCACCGGCUAACUCCGUGCCAGCAGCCGCGGUAAUACGGAGGGUGCAAGCGUUAUCCGGAUUCACUGGGUUUAAAGGGUGUGUAGGCGGAUAUUUAAGUCCGAGGUGAAAUCUCCAGGCUCAACCUGGAAACUGCCUUGGAUACUAUUUAUCUUGAAUAUCGUUGAGGUAGGCGGAAUAUAUCAUGUAGCGGUGAAAUGCUUAGAGAUGAUAUAGAACACCGAUUGCGAAGGCAGCUUACUAACGAGAUUGACGCUGAGGCACGAAAGCGUGGGGAUCAAACAGGAUUAGAUACCCUUGUAGUC